CGGGGUGUGGCGCAGCUCGGUUAGCGCGCCUGCUUUGGGAGCAGGAGGCCGUGAGUUCGAAUCUCACCACCCCGA
rnacentral:tRNA from 1 species